ACGCUCGACACCUACUGGAGGCAGCAGUGGGGAAUAUUGCACAAUGGGGGAAACCCUGAUGCAGCGAUGCCGCGUGAAGGAAGAAGUAUCUCGGUAUGUAAACUUCUAUCAGCAGGGAAGAAAAUGACGGUACCUGACUAAGAAGCCCCGGCUAACUACGUGCCAACAGCCGCGGUAAUCUGAGCGGGCUGGCAAGGC
rnacentral:rRNA from 1 species